rnacentral:rRNA from 1 species
AGUUUUAUGCUAUUUAUAUAAAAUAAAACCUGCCCAGUGUUAAUAAAAAUAAAUGGCCGCAGUACCUUGACUGUGCUAAGGUAGCAUAAUCAAUUGGCUUUUAAUUAAAGUCUGGAAUGAAUGGGAAAAUGAAAAAUUACUGUCUUAAAAGUGUGUAUUAAAAUUUAUUUAUAAGGUGAAAAUACCUUAUUUUAUAAUAAAGACGAGAAGACCCUAUGAGUUUAAAAUAAUUAAUAAUAACAUAUUAUUAUAGUUUUUUGUUGGGGCGACAUAUUAACAAAUUUAACUUAAUGAUACAAUAUUAAACGUUAUUAUAAAAUAUAGUUAACUACCUUAGGGAUAACAGCAUAAUUUUUAUUAUAAAGUUUGUGACCU